UACGUAGGGGGCGAGCGUUGUCCGGAUUCAUUGGGCGUAAAGCGCGCGUAGGCGGCUGCGCAAGUCGGCCGUGAAAUCUCCCAGCUCAACUGGGAGGGGUCGGGCGAGACUGCGCGGCUCGAGGUGGGCAGAGGGCAGUGGAAUUCCGGGUGUAGUGGUGGAAUGCGUAGAGAUCCGGAGGAACACCAGUGGCGAAGGCGGCUGCCUGGGCCUGGCCUGACGCUGAGGCGCGAAAGCGUGGGGAGCAAUCCGG
rnacentral:rRNA from 1 species